UCUUGGUUCAGGACGAACGCUGGCGGCGUGCCUAAUACAUGCAAGUCGAACGGUCUUUCUAUGGAAGCUUGCUUCCACUGAGAAGAUAGUGGCGAACGGGUGAGUAACACGUGGGUAACCUGCCCAUAAGAGGGGGAUAACAUCCGGAAACGGGUGCUAAUACCGCAUAGUUUUCUUGAUCGCAUGAUCGGGAAAGGAAAGACGGCCUUUGUGCUGUCGCUUAUGGAUGGACCCGCGGCGUAUUAGUUAGUUGGUGAGGUAACGGCUCACCAAGACGAUGAUACGUAGCCGACCUGAGAGGGUGAUCGGCCACAUUGGGACUGAGACACGGCCCAAACUCCUACGGGAGGCAGCAGUAGGGAAUCUUCCGCAAUGGACGAAAGUCUGACGGAGCAACGCCGCGUGAGUGAAAGAAGGUUUUCGGAUCGUAAAACUCUGUUGUCAGAGAAGAACAAGUUGGAGAGUAACUGCUCCAGCCUUGACGGUAUCUGACCAGAAAGCCACGGCUAACUACGUGCCAGCCGCGGC
rnacentral:rRNA from 1 species